CGUGACGCCGUUUUGCAGCCACCGCAGCGGCCAAAGGCGCAGCCACGGAGGUGAGGACGGGGCGGCCCCAUAGAUCCGCCCCAUAGAUGCCCCAUAGCCGCCCCAUAGCGCCCCAUAGCGCCCCAUUACCCCAUAGACCCCAUUCAUCCUCCAUCCAUUCCCAUUGCCCUCCAUCUCUGCCCCAUAGAGCUCCAUAUCUGCCCCAUAGAGCCCCAUAGCGCCCCAUAGCUCUGCCCCAUAGAUGCCCCGUAGCCGCCCCAUAGCGCCCCAUAAGCCCAUAGCCCCCAUUCAUCCUCCAUCCAUUCCCCUUGCCUUCCAUCUCUGCCCCAUAGAGCCCUACAGAGCCCCAUAGAGCCCCAUAGAUCUGCCCCAUAGCUCUGCCCCAUAGAUGCCCCAUAGCCGCCCUAUAGCGCCCCAUAGCGCCCCAUAACCCCAUAUCCCCCAUUCAUCCUCCAUCCAUUCCCAUUGCCUUACAUCCCUGCCCCAUAGAGCCCCAGAGAGACCCAUAGCUCUGCCCCAUAGCUCUGCCCCAUAGAUCCGUCCCAUAGAUGCCCCAUAGCCGCCCUAUAGCGCCCCAUAGCGCCCCAUAACCCCAUAGCCCCCAUUCAUCCUCCAUCCAUUUCCAUUGCCUCAUAUCUGCCCACGUCUCUGCCCCAUAGAGCCCCAUAUCUGCCCCAUAGAGCCCCAUAGCGCCCCAUAGCUCUGCCCCAUAGAUGCCCCAUAGCCGCCCUAUAGCGCCCCAUAGCCCCCAUUCAUCCUUCAUCCAUUCCCAUUGCCUUACAUCCCUGCCCCAUAGCUGCCCCAUAGCCAACCUAUAGAGCCCCAUAGUGCCCCAUAGCUCUGCCCCAUAGAUGCCCUAUAGCGGCCCUAUAGCGCCCCAUAGCGGCCCAUAACCCCAUAGCCCCCAUUCAUCCUCCAUCCAUUCCCACUGCCUCACAUCUGCUCACGUCUCUGCCCCAUAGAGCCCCAUAUCUGCCCCAUAAAGCCCCAUAGAGCCCCAUAGCGCCCCAUAGCUCUGCCCCAUAGAUGCCCCAUAGCCACCCCAUAGCGCCCCGUAAGCCCCCUAUAGACCCCAUUCAUCCUCCAUCCAUUCCCAUUGCCUUCCAUCUCUGCCCCAUAGAGCCCUACAGAGCCCCAUAGAGCCCCAUAGCUCUGCCCCAUAGAUGCCCCAUAGCCACCCCAUAGAGCCCCAUAGCGCCCCAUAACCCCACAGCCCCCAUUCAUCCUCCAUCCAUUCCCAUUGCCCUCCAUCUCUGCACCCCAUAACACCAUUUCUGCCCCAUAGAGCCCCAUAGAGCCCCAUAGCUCUGCCCCAUAGAUGCCCCAUAGCCACCCCAUAGCUCCCCAUAGCGCCCCAUAACCCCAUAGCCCCCAUUCAUCCUCCAUCCAUUCCCAUUGCCUUCCAUCUCUGCACCCCAUAACACCAUCUCUGCCCCAUAGAGCCCCAUAGAGCCCCAUAACUCUGCCCCAUAGAUGCCCUAUAGAGACCCUAUAGUGCCCCAUAAUCCCAUAGCCGCCCCAUAGCCCCCCCAUAACCCCAUUCAUCCUCCAUCUGUUCCCAUUGCCUUCCCUCUUUCCCAUAGCUGCCCCAUAGCGCCCCAUAGAUCUGCCCCAUAGAUGCCCUAUAGCGGCCCCAUAGUGCCUCAUAGUGCCCCAUAACCCCAUCGACCCCCCAUAGACCCCAUUCAUCCUCCAUCCCUCCCCACUGCCACACAUCUCUGCCCCAUAGCGCCCCACAGCCCUGCCCCAUAGCUGCCCUAUAGCCACCCCAUAACCCCAUAGACCCCCCCAUAGCCCCCAUUCAUCCUCCAUCUGUUCCCAUUGCCGUACAUUUCUGCCCCAUAGCUGCCCCAUAGCGCCGCGUAGCGCCAUAUCUGCCCCAUAGUGCCCCAUAGCUCUGCCCCAUAGCUUUGCCCUGUAGCCUGAUCUAUGGGGCUGGAGCCAACCUAUGGGGCAGGAGCCAAUCUAUGGGGCCAGGACCCGCAAUGGGGCCAAUCUAUGGGGCUGGAGCCAAUCUAUGGGGCCAGGACCCGCUAUGGGGCUGAUCUAUGGGGCUGAAAAUGUCUAUGGGGCUGAUCUAUGGGGCUGGAGCCAAUCUAUGGGGCCAGGACAGUCUAUGGGACCCAUCUAUGGGGCCAGUCUAUGGGGCCAGGAGCCACUAUGGGGCCAAUCUAUGGGGCUGGGAUCCACUGUGGGGCCAAUCUAUGGGGCCGGGACCCGCUAUGGGGCCGAUCUAUGGGGCUGGAGCCGAUGUGUGGGGCUGGAAUGCCCCAUAGGUGUCCCCUUCCAUCCCCCCCCCCCCCCAUUUCCGCCCCACGGAUUCUUUGCUGCUAUUUGGGGCUCCUCCACCUGCGCUGCCCCACAGCUGUUGUGGGGCGGGGGGGGGGGGGGGGGGGGGAACUUCCGCCCACCCCGUGGGGCCCCACAGCGCCGCCCCAUAGAUGGGAACCGGGGGGGGAAUGGGGGGGCACUGGGAGGGGCUGCCCCAUAGAUCUGCCCCAUAGAUCAGCACGAGAGAUAGCACAGGUAUGGCUCUGCCCCAUAGGUGGAACUGGGGGGGGCUCUGCCCUAUAGAUCGGCCCCAUAGAUCUGCCCCAUAGAUCCGUCCCAUAGAUGGCACAUGUAUGGCUCUGCCCCAUAGAUCUGCCCCAUAGAUGGCACUGGGGGCUCUGCCCCAUAGAUGGGAAUCCGGGGGGGCGAGGGGGGCAGCGGGGGGGGUCUGCCCCACAGAUCUGCCCUGUAGAUCAGUGCAAGAGAUGGUAACUGGGAUGGCUCUGCCCCAUAGAUGGCACUGGGGGGGGGCUCUGCCCCAUAGAUCUGCCGCAUAGGUGGCACUGGGGGGGCUCUGCCCCAUAGGUGGCACGGGUGUGGCUCUGCCCCAUAGAUCUGCCCCAUAGAUGGCACUGGGGGGGGUCUCUGCCCCAUAGAUGGCACUGGGGGGGGCCUCUGCCCCAUAGGUGGCACUGAGGGGGCUCUGCCCCAUAGAUCCGCCCCAUACGUGGCACAGGUAUGGCUCUGCCCCAUAGAUGGCACUGGGGGGGCUCAGUCCCAUAGAUCUGCUUCAUAGAUGGUAACUUAGGGGGCUCUGCCCCAUAGAUGGCACUGGGGGGGCUCUGCCCCAUGGAUCUGCUUCAUAGAUGUUAACUGAGGGGGCUCUGCCCCAUAGAUGGCACUUGGGGGGCUCUGCCCCAUUGAUCUGCCCCAUAGAUUUCACUGGGGGGGCUCUGCCCCAUAGAUCUACUUCAUAGAUGGUAAUUGAGGGGGCUCUGCCCCAUAGAUGGCACUUGGGGGGCUCUGCCCCAUUGAUCUGCUCCAUAGAUUUCACUGGGGGGUCUCUACCCUAUAGAUUCACCCCAUAGAUCUGCCCCACAGAUGGCACUGGGGGGCUCUGCUGCACAACUCAGCCCCACAACCCCAUAAGCAGCCCCAUAACCACUCCACAACCCCAUAACCCCACCCUAUAGCCCCAUAACCCCACUCCAUCACCCCAUAACCACCCCACAACCCCAUAACCCCACCCUAUAGCCCCAUAACUCCACUCCAUCACCCCAUAACCACCCCAUAACCCCACCCAUAACCCCAUAACCCCACCCUAUAGCCCUAUAACCCAGCUCCAUCACCCCAUAACCACCCCAUAACCCCAUCACCACCCUAUAACCCCCCCAUAGCCACCCCAUAACCCCAUCAGAACCCCAUAGCCACCCCAUCGCCACCACAUAUCCACCCCAUAACCCCCCCAUAACCACCCCGUGACCCCAUAACCCCACCCCAUAACCACGCCAUCACCAUCCCAUAUCACCCCAUAACCCCACCCUAUAGCCCUACUAUCCCCCCCCAC
ensembl:lncRNA